AAUUUACAGUAAGAUACCUAAAAAGCCGGAGAAGGAUAUAUAUUCAGUAACGGUAAAAGAAAAUAUACUGCAUAUUCUAAUGCACUCAAUAGCAUCACCUAACACUGACGGAUGAAUAAAAUAUAUCUAAGGCCUUAGAAGUAAUUGAAUCACUGCAUGGGUUGACCAGAAGAUCCUGUAAAGAGAUAUAUUAAUGAGCACCAUACUGUUUCAAAAUAUGGCAAGUGUGUGCAGCAGGUAAGUCCACAGAGGCUACAAGAGACCAGAUUAACUGCAAAACUCGUCUUAUGGUGAAAAGGUUCAUUGAAAGACUUUUGAUUUCAUUGAGCUGGAAAUCUGAAAAUGUAAAGCAGAAAUCAAGGGCGAAAGUAAGCAUAAAAAUCAACGAUUUUACAGUUUUAGAAUAAUUAAAUUCU